rnacentral:lncRNA from 1 species
UCGCUUAAGGAGGCUCGAGGGUAUAAAAAUUUCAGAAAAAAAUCAAACAUUUGUUUUUCAUUACAAAUUUUAUUUAUUUCAUUUUGUAGUUGUUACUUUAUCAUAUGGUACAAAAAUCAUUCAAAACAAUCAAUUCGUGUUGGCCCCAGAUGACUUUCAAAAUGUAUACAUCACUGAAAAAGUUCCAAAUUAUCUCCCUUUGGUGGAAAAAUGCCAUUUUUUGGCUCUAAAAUUGAAAUAUCUUUUUCAACUCAUCGGUGACCUAUCUUUUUUAAUAUAAUUUCCAUAUAAGCUGUACUUAAACUAAAUUAUUGUAAAAUUUUAG